rnacentral:rRNA from 1 species
GAGUUUGAUCCUGGCUCAGAUUGAACGCUGGCGGAAUGCUUUACACAUGCAAGUCGAGCGGCAGCGCGGGGCAACCUGGCGGCGAGCGGCGAACGGGUGAGUAAUGUAUCGGAACGUGUCCUGAGAUGGGGGAUAGCCCGGUGAAAACCGGAUUAAUACCGCAUACGAUCGAGAGAUGAAAGUGGGGGACCGCAAGGCCUCACGUCUUAGGAGCGGCCGAUAUCUGAUUAGCUAGUUGGUGGGUAAAGCCCACCAAGGCUUCGAUCAGUAGCUGGUCUGAGAGGAUGAUCAGCCACACUGGACUGAGACACGGCCCAGACUCCUACGGAGCAGCAGUGGGAAUUUUGGACAAUGGGGCAACCCUGAUCCAGCCAUUCCGCGUGAGUGAAGAAGGCCUUCGGUU